rnacentral:miRNA from 1 species
GCUGAGUGGGGAGGAGAGAGGGACAGAGAGCCUGCUUCUUUAAAGGAGCAAAGUGGGAGAGGAGAGGAGCCGCUUACACGAGUGUAAGCGGCUCCUGUCCGGUUGGUUCCUUUAAAGCAAGCAGGCUCUCUGUCCCUCUCUCCUCCCCACUCAGC